AUUGAACGCUGGCGGCAGGCCUAACACAUGCAAGUCGAGCGGAUGAAGGGAGCUUGCUCCUGGAUUCAGCGUCGGACGGGUGAGUAAUGCCUAGGAAUCUGCCUGGUAGUGGGUGAUAACGUCCGGAAACGGGCGCUAAUACCGCAUACGUCCUGAGGGAGAAAGUGGGGGAUCUUCGGACCUCACGCUAUCAGAUGAGCCUAGGUCGGAUUAGCUAGUUGGUGGGGUAAAGGCCUACCAAGGCGACGAUUCGUAACUGGUCUGAGAGGAUGAUCAGUCACACUGGAACUGAGACACGGUCCAGACUCCUACGGGAGGCAGCAGUGGGGAAGAUUGGACAAUGGGCGAAAGCCUGAUACAGCCAUGCAGCGUGUGUGAAGAAGGUCUUCGGAUUGUAAAGCACUUUACGUUGGGAGGAAGGGCAGUAAGUUAAUACCUUGCUGUUUUGACGUUACCAACAGAAUAAGCACCGGCUAACUUCGUG
rnacentral:rRNA from 1 species